rnacentral:rRNA from 1 species
AGUGGCGAACGGGUGAGUAAUGCAUCGGAACGUGCCCAAUCGUGGGGGAUAACGCAGCGAAAGCUGUGCUAAUACCGCAUACGAUCUAUGGAUGAAAGCGGGGGACCUUCGGGCCUCGCGCGAUUGGAGCGGCCGAUGUUAGAUUAGGUAGUUGGUGGGGUAAAGGCUCACCAAGCCGACGAUCUAUAGCUGGUCUGAGAGGACGACCAGCCACACUGGAACUGAGACACGGUCCAGACUCCUACGGGAGGCAGCAGUGGGGAAUUUUGGACAAUGGGCGCAAGCCUGAUCCAGCAAUACCGCGUGCAGGAAGAAGGCCUUCGGGUUGUAAACUGCUUUUGUACGGAACGAAAAGGCUCUUUCUAAUAAAGAGGGCUCAUGACGGUACCGUAAGAAUAAGCACCGGCUAACUACGUGCCAGCAGCCGCGGUAAUACGUAGGGUGCGAGCGUUAAUCGGAAUUACUGGGCGUAAAGCGUGCGCAGGCGGUUUUGUAAGACAGACGUGAAAUCCCCGGGCUCAACCUGGGAAUUGCGUUUGUGACUGCAAGGCUAGAGUACGGUAGAGGGGGGUAGAAUUCCGCGUGUAGCAGUGAAAUGCGUAGAUAUGCGGAGGAACACCGAUGGCGAAGGCAGCCCCCUGGACCUGUACUGACGCUCAUGCACGAAAGCGUGGGGAGCAAACAGGAUUAGAUACCCUGGUAG